rnacentral:misc_RNA from 1 species
AGCAGCCGCGGUAAUUCCAGCUCCAAUAGCGUAUAUUAAAGUUGUUGCAGUUAAAAAGCUCGUAGUUGAAUUUCGGAGUUCUACCGUCGGUCGGGCUACCAAGUCUGUACUGGUGUGUAGAAUUCCUACCUUCUGGGGAACUAUCAUGUUAUUAAUUUAGCGUGGUGGGAAACCAGGACUUUUACCUUGAAAAAUUAGAGUGUUCAAAGCAGGCUUAUGUCUGAAUACAUUAGUAUGGAAUAAUAGAAUAGGACGGUGGUCCUGUUUUGUUGGUUUCUGAAUCACCGUAAUGAUUAAUAGGGAUAGUUGGGGGCAUUAGUAUUCAAUUGUCAGAGGUGAAAUUCUUGGAUUUAUUGAAGACUAACUUCUGCGAAAGCAUUUGCCAAGGAUGUUUUCAUUAAUCAAGAACGAAAGUUAGGGGAUCGAAGACGAUCAGAUAC